rnacentral:tRNA from 1 species
AAGGGUAUAGCUCAGGGGUAGAGCACGUGCUUAGCAUGCACAAGGUCCUGGGUUCAAUCCCCAGUACCUCCA